rnacentral:rRNA from 1 species
CCUACGGGAGGCAGCAGUGAGUAAUAUUGGUCAAUGGACGAGAGUCUGAACCAGCCAAGUAGCGUGAAGGAUGACUGCCCUAUGGGUUGUAAACUUCUUUUAUAUGGGAAUAAAAUGUUCCACGUGUGGGAUUUUGUAUGUACCAUAUGAAUAAGGAUCGGCUAACUCCGUGCCAGCAGCCGCGGUAAUACGGAGGACCCGAGCGUUAUCCGGAUUUAUUGGGUUUAAAGGGAGCGUAGGUGGAUUGUUAAGUCAGUUGUGAAAGUUUGCGGCUCAACCGUAAAAUUGCAGUUGAAACUGGCAGUCUUGAGUACAGUAGAGGUGAGCGGAAUUCGUGGUGUAGCGGUGAAAUGCUUAGAUAUCACGAAGAACUCCGAUUGCGAAGGCAGUUCACUGGACUGCAACUGACACUGAGGCUCGAAAGUGUGGGUAUCAAACAGGAUUAGAUACCCGGGUAGUC